rnacentral:rRNA from 1 species
CUAACGUGGACCCGUAAUCCGGGUUGCAGACAGUGUCUGGUGGGUAGUUUGACUGGGGCGGUCUCCUCCUAAAGAGUAACGGAGGAGCACGAAGGUUGGCUAAUCCUGGUCGGACAUCAGGAGGUUAGUGCAAUGGCAUAAGCCAGCUUGACUGCGAGCGUGACGGCGCGAGCAGGUGCGAAAGCAGGUCAUAGUGAUCCGGUGGUUCUGAAUGGAAGGGCCAUCGCUCAACGGAUAAAAGGUACUCCGGGGAUAACAGGCUGAUACCGCCCAAGAGUUCAUAUCGACGGCGGUGUUUGGCACCUCGAUGUCGGCUCAUCACAUCCUGGGGCUGAAGUAGGUCCCAAGGGUAUGGCUGUUCGCCAUUUAAAGUGGUACGCGAGCUGGGUUUAGAACGUCGUGAGACAGUUCGGUCCCUAUCUGCCGUGGGCGCUGGAGAACUGAGGGGGGCUGCUCCUAGUACGAGAGGACCGGAGUGGACGCAUCACUGGUGUUCGGGUUGUCAUGCCAAUGGCACUGCCCGGUAGCUAAAUGCGGAAGAGAUAAGUGCUGAAAGCAUCUAAGCACGAAACUUGCCCCGAGAUGAGUUCUCCCUGAGACUUAGAGUCUCCUGAAGGAACGUUGAAGACGACGACGUUGAUAGGCCGGGUGUGUAAGCGCAGCGAUGCGUUGAGCUAACCGGUACUAAUGAACCGUGAGGCUUAACCUUACAACGCCGAAG